rnacentral:rRNA from 1 species
CACGUAGGCACCAAGCGUUGUCCGGAUUUAUUGGGCGUAAAGAGCUCGUAGGCGGUUCAGUAAGUCAGCUGUGAAAGUCAAGGGCUCAACCCUUGAAUGCCGGUUGAUACUGUCGGGCUAGAGUCCGGAAGAGGCGAGUGGAAUUCCCGGUGUAGCGGUGAAAUGCGCAGAUAUCGGGAGGAACACCAAUGGCGAAGGCAGCUCGCUGGGACGGUACUGACGCUGAGACGCGAAAGCGUGGGGAGCAAACAGGG